GACUCCUACGGGAGGCAGCAGUGGGGAAUUUUGCACAGUGGGCGCAAGCCUGAUGCAGCGACGCCGCGUGGGGGAUGACGGCCUUCGGGUUGUAAACUCCUUUCGCUAGGGACGAAGCUUUUGUGACGGUACCUAGAUAAGAAGCACCGGCUAACUACGUGCCAGCAGCCGCGGUAAUACGUAGGGUGCGAGCGUUGUCCGGAAUUACUGGGCGUAAAGGGCUCGUAGGUGGUUUGUCGCGUCGUCUGUGAA
rnacentral:rRNA from 1 species